GUCGAACUGGCGCCGGUGGCCGCAGAGAAACCUCCAACAAGGUGGAGGUGCUGGCCAUGAGAAGUCAGGCUGCCAACGUGUAGAAAUGAUAAGGUUUCCAGGAAGAUAUGAGCAGAAGGCUGGCGGUGCCAGCCACACACCCUACCAAAUACAAGGAGGCCUUAGGAGAAACGGUCUCUCACGGUGCAAGAAAGGAUCUCAGUGACACUCAGAGGUAGAGCACAUGUUCUAGUGAGCAAGGGUGGAGGGAGGCCAUGUUCGGUUUGGUUCACAUUCAACAGCACGCUCUGCCUCUGAAGAGUCGAGUGCCUGGCUACUUCAGGUCCAGGGAUUAGAACUAUGUCCCCAUCUCCUCUCUGAGUCCAGCUCAUGCCAUGGCUGGGAUCUCUGACAACAGCAACACAGGA